CCUAUACUCGUGGUAAUGAACUUCAAGUACCAGAUUGUACUCAUUAUUUCAUGGAAAAUUUGCAAAGAUUGUCGGAUGCCAAUUAUAUUCCAACAAAGGAAUGUUCUAUAUGCAAGAGUUCGUACAACUGGUGUCGUCGAAAUCCGGUUCAGCCCUGUGGGGGAGAAUAAGAAAAGUGGUGAAGUAUACAGACUCUUCGAUGUGGGAGGCCAGAGAAAUGAGA